AUUGGAAUACAUUAUCUACAUAUUUGAAGCAGUUGACAAGAAAGGUAAUCAGUGGCUCAAGUUACAAACCAAACUCCUCAGGUCUUCUUUUGAACUUCUUUAAACACACAAAAAGUCCUUCACAGUUGCAAUAAAAAAAUAUGAAGGGCCAAGAACGAUACAUUUCAAUAAUAUUACAACAGAGCAAUAGGCACUUGAAGCAACACCAUAAAGGCAUAAACAAACAAUUUAUACUGAAUCUACUCCCUCCACCUGCUGUCGAGCAAGAUAUCUUUCUCUUCUUUCUUUCUACAAAAAAUAGAACAUAAUAACAUUAAGGAAAAAAUCCAGAAAGCAAUUUCUACAGGACUGUGAUUCGGAUUCAACAAAAACUAACCCAUUCAUCUAUGACCAGUCCUUCGCCAAUAAUCUUUGGACCUGUUUCUUCUGGAGGUUUUUUGCGAGACUCAACAGCAGCCUCAGCUUCAGCCAGCUGACGUUUUAAUUUCUCAAGAGCCUUGCAAUGAAUUAAAGGGAAUAAUUUAUACAUUAUUCAAUUCUUUUCUCUAUUUUAUAUAUUAUACAUGGUGGCUGCCUAGAGACAACUAAUUGCACAAGUUAUGCCUACAUAAGGUAUCCAUACAUGUUCACAAAAAAAAGAACAAGCAACACAAUAGAAAGGCCUGCCAAAUAAGAGCACCACUGACUCCACCCUUUUUUAUAAUGAAAGCACCAUUUUCAAUCCAUGUAGAAAAUGAAUCACGACCAUACUACUGUAUAAAUGAGUGAAUAAAAAACCCUUACAGGAGUAGGACGUUCCACAUCAAGAAAUACAACCCGUAAUAUCUGCUCAACAGCAACUUGAUCCUUUUGUUCAUCAAACUGAAAUGAAACAAGAACAGAAUCUUCACCAAGGAUGAAAGAUAAAUAUUUGAUAGCAAUGCAGAAGCCACUCCAACUCUCCUUCAAAUUUACUCAUAAUAACCGUAGUAUGCAUAUCAAAAUACUAUAUUAGUCCCAUAAUAUUCAGCUUGAGAGAUGCAAGUUUGAUGUAUAGUGGUUGCCACAUAGUACAAAAAAGAAUGAAUCAAACCAUCAUAACAGGUACAGUUCAUACCAGCUCAGGUACAUAGUCCAUCGGUCCUUUCACCUUCAGGCUCAUGAUCUUAAACUUCACCCUGCUUUUCUGAUCCAUUGGCUUUUCAUUGUUCUCCGGAUUCUCCACAAAUUUAAAUACUUUUGAUACAAAAAAAAAGUCAAAACUAACUCAAUAUACAACUUGAAGUGAAGACCAAAUAUCAAAUAUGAUUAUCUCAACAAGCUAAUUUGGACAACUCUGUAUAAUGUGGCAACUAUAACUAUGCUAUGAAAAGAAAAACAUGAAGAAAGAUCAUAAAGAAGACAUUACCAGUAGCUAUAAGACUCUCGCCAGGAGCAAGAAUUGCCCCUGGAGGACGCAUAAAACAGCUCUUUGGUGCAGUUGUUUGGAACUAAAUCACAUAAGCAAGAAGCAUUAAUCAACAAAAUUAAGGACAUUAUAGGUCAGAAAAGAAAUAUUUAUUAUGAACACAUUUACUAACACUGUAUCACUGCCCUAAAAAGAUGCAUCAUGGUCAAGAUACGGAAGGAAUACAGGUAUAAUACCUUAAAAGCUACAUGAGAUUUGCUUGUAUUUUUAAUCCCAAUCGCACUCCGGACUUGUUUGCCAGGUUCGUCUAAAAUGAUACAAAAAAAGGUUCAAAUGUAAGCACUACUACCAUAUUUAACAGCACCUCAUACAAGAAAACGUAAGCUGAAAAUUAAAUUACAGGGCUAUAAUUUUGUACUCCAAUGCAGAUAUAUGUAACAUCUACAAAAAUUCAACCCAUUCUAAAAAAGCAACAGCAAAAGACGGCCAUGCCAGAGAAAUAAAUUUAGCUAAUAAACAUACACAUGUUAAAAGACAUCAAGAUCAUCAGACAUCAAGAACAUAUACAAGUGUAAACUGAGAGGAGGCUUUAUCAUCAAGUGACCUUGUCUUUCCUAUUUACAUUUUGCAUUGGUAGGGUGUAAAAUGGAAGAAGAAAUUAAAACAUUAACAAUCUCUUAACCAAAGCUUUUGUGAGAAGUUCGCAAACUCAACUAUCACUCUUCUUGUAGACAUAACAAUUCUAGCUAUAUACAAAACCAUUACCCAGUAAAGGCUCAAACAGAUAUACAAAUAAAACAUUUUUCGCACAUGUCCAGAUAAUCUUAACGGACAUAGAUACGAAGGACGUGCCUUCUACUCGUAAAAUUAUUUCUUUAAUUCACAACCUUUUUUCCUGAUUCAUGGCUAUACAUGCAAUAUGAUUUACCUCAUCUAUAGUCUGCAUGUGUGAAACAAUNAUUUUUUUAACAAAUGAAUACUUAUUUAUAUAAAUAAGAAAGGAUAAAUGAUUUUUAAAUAUUCAGUUUUAAAAGAUAAUAUGUAAGUAUGGAAUUGUAUUCUCAAAUAAGUCUAAAGUUUGAUAAAAUAAGAACACAUUAUAGCAUUUUCAACCACACAAAACCCUUAGCUAAAAUACAAGAAAUCUGUGUUACACAUUAUUUGUAUUGAACUGAUAUAUUCAAUUUUAACAAACUAAAAUAUUAAUAACAUACUAUUUUUAAAUUAUAACCAACCAAUAUAGCCAAUACCAUUCGAGUGCAACAGUUUCGGCAAAUUAUGCAUAAUAUCGUAUAUAUUUUAUUUUAACAAACUAAAAUAUUAAUAACAUACUAAUUUUAAAUUAUAACCAACUAAUAUAACCAAUACAAUGUCUUGCCUUUUCAGCAAAUCAUAAUAAUAUAAUAUCUCUUAGGUCCAAUUUUAACCAAUAAUUAUAGUCAACCUCUAAAUUACUGUUAGGCAACUUUGAGUCGAAUUUGUAUUAACAGUCCAGUUUUAAACAAAAAGUAUACUUGCACUCGUACUAUAACUAGGGAGAGAUCUUCUGGAAUGAGCAACUACACAUAUAUCGGGAGAAUUUAAAAUUCAAGUUUUAAGUAGAGAAGUAAAUGAGUAAACUCAAGUUUGCAGGAAUAAAGAACAUUCAAGCUACAUUGCUCCUUUGCAUGUCAAAUUAAGAAGAAAAAAGAUCACAGGAACUCUUAUUAAGCUAUAGAACUGUUAACCAAUCCUAUUAUUUAGCUGAUGCAGGAGCUCAUCAUCAUCAGUUGUUCCGGAUUCACAUAAUUAGAUGGCAGCUGAAAUCAAGCACUCCCAACAACACAAAGCCACUGGCCGACGAACAAUGUAGCGCAGUUGACAUUGGGGUUGAUGGAGUUGAACUCAUCAGCUGACAAGGCAAAACUCUGAGCAAUGCUAAAGCAAGUAUCUCCGCUGCUCACUCCAGUCACCAUAUCACAUGUUGGAACGGAUGCUUUUGCAAGCCUCCCUGUUUUCAGAAAUACAACUCAUAAACUAAUUUGCAAUACAAUAAUAAGUGAAAUUUUGGAGAGUUACAACGUGAUCAACAUUAAUUCAGAUAAUCAAAUUAACAAAGAUAUGAAUCCUGAAGAUACUUACUGGGCAAAACUGAUCUGCUUUCAGAAAUAGCAAAGAUGAGAAGAAGAGCAAGUGUGAGAAUGAGCAGGGCACUAUUGUUGUUGCUUGUCUUGGCCAUUGCACUAUUUGUUCUUGGAGGAAAGCAGCUAAGCCAGAUAAGAUGAGGAUACUUGCUUUCUUACUUCUGUGUUAGUGCUUCCUUAAACCCCACAUUUAUACUUUACAUUGAGGAAUGCGACCAGCAAGUAAGCCAAAAAUCAUUGUUUCCUUAGAAACAUACCCGCCCUCUUGUGACGCCAUGCGAUUUAACCAAUCAGGUACGCCGAUUUGUAUGCCCAUAACAGAUAGAUGAUCCACACACAGGUACCAGACAAAUCCAAAAUACUUAGUAAAACAUUAAGUAAAAAGUCCGACAAAUAAUUUAGUAACGCAUAAAGAAAUAGUGAGUUGCAGACUGCAGUAGUCAAUUAGUCAUUUAGUCCUCUUUCACUCAUUUGCCUAAUUAUCUGUCAUAUGUCUGAUGAGAGAGCAGACGCUUACUCACACUAGAACCUAUUUGGACUGGCAUAUUUUGGCCGACUAUAUUUUUUUUGUAAGACGAUUUAAUUCAGAACUAAACACUAACGAUUAUGCAAGCAGUUAAGACCCGGUUUAGCUGCAUUAAGUAAAUAAAACAUUUAAGACCCGGUUUAGCUGCAUCAAGUAAAUAAAACAUUUAACGUGAUUCCCAGUUCCCUGCAACAUGAUUCCGAUUUGCCCACUGUGCGAAGCAAAAGUGCGACAAAACAAGACUCAAGAGUCAGUCCCUUAAUGUCAUGUUGGUUUAUGCAAAUUGAUCAUGGAACAAUGCAACUAAUAUUAAAAAUUCACUUUUUGAAGAGAAAAAAAAUUGGAAUACAUUAUCUACAUAUUUGAAGCAGUUGACAAGAAAGGUAAUCAGUGGCUCAAGUUACAAACCAAACUCCUCAGGUCUUCUUUUGAACUUCUUUAAACACACAAAAAGUCCUUCACAGUUGCAAUAAAAAAAUAUGAAGGGCCAAGAACGAUACAUUUCAAUAAUAUUACAACAGAGCAAUAGGCACUUGAAGCAACACCAUAAAGGCAUAAACAAACAAUUUAUACUGAAUCUACUCCCUCCACCUGCUGUCGAGCAAGAUAUCUUUCUCUUCUUUCUUUC
rnacentral:lncRNA from 1 species